UACGUAGGGUGCGAGCGUUAAUCGGAAUUACUGGGCGUAAAGCGUGCGCAGGCGGUUUUGUAAGCCCGAUGUGAAAUCCCCGGGCUUAACCUGGGAAUGGCAUUUGGGACUGCAAGGCUCGAGUGCGGCAGAGGAGACUGGAAUUCCUGGUGUAGCAGUGAAAUGCGUAGAUAUCAGGAGGAACACCGAUGGCGAAGGCAGGUCGCUGGGCUGACACUGACGCUCAUGCACGAAAGCGUGGGGAGCAAACAGG
rnacentral:rRNA from 1 species